rnacentral:rRNA from 1 species
ACAGGGAUUGCCCUAGUAACGGCGAGUGAAGCGGCAACAGCUCAAAUUUGAAAUCUGGCGUCUUUGGCGUCCGAGUUGUAAUUUGCAGAGGGCGCUUUGGCAUUGGCAGCGGUCCAAGUUCCUUGGAACAGGACGUCACAGAGGGUGAGAAUCCCGUACGUGGUCGCUAGCCUUUACCGUGUAAAGCCCCUUCGACGAGUCGAGUUGUUUGGGAAUGCAGCUCUAAAUGGGAGGUAAAUUUCUUCUAAAGCUAAAUACUGGCCAGAGACCGAUAGCGCACAAGUAGAGUGAUCGAAAGAUGAAAAGCACUUUGGAAAGAGAGUUAAAAAGCACGUGAAAUUGUUGAAAGGGAAGCGCUUGCAGCCAGACUUGCCUGUAGUUGCUCAUCCGGGUUUCUACCCGGUGCACUCUUCUACGGGCAGGCCAGCAUCAGUUUGGGCGGUUGGAUAAAGGUCUCUGUCAUGUACCUCCUCUCGGGGAGAACUUAUAGGGGAGACGACAUGCAACCAGCCCGGACUGAGGUCCGCGCAUCUGCUAGGAUGCUGGCGUAAUGGCUGUAAGCGGCCCGUCUUGAAACACGGACCAAGGAGUCUAACAUCUAUGCGAGUGUUUGGGUGUCAAGCCCGAGCGCGUAAUGAAAGUGAACGGAGGUGGGAACCUUUCGGGGUGCACCAUCGACCGAUCCUGAUGUCUUCGGAUGGAUUUGAGUAAGAGCAUAGCUGUUGGGACCCGAAAGAUGGUGAACUAUGCUUGAAUAGGGUGAAGCCAGAGGAAACUCUGGUGGAGGCUCGCAGCGGUUCUGACGUGCAAAUCGAUCGUCAAAUUUGGGCAUAGGGGCGAAAGACUAAUCGAACUAUCUAGUAGCUGGUUCCUGCCGAAGUUUCCCUCAGGAUAGCAGUAACGUUUUCAGUUUUAUGAGGUAAAGCGAAUGAUUAGAGGACUGGGGGAUGAAACAUCCUU